rnacentral:lncRNA from 1 species
UAAGACAAUGUCCUUAAGUUAGUCUUGGAUUUUAAAUGGCCGGUUCAGCCUAAUGUAUCACUUCCUGUGACCAGGAUGGCAGCAAAAAAGACCAUAUUGCACAACUGAUUUUGAAUUUUGUGAAUUUUAAGCUCAUGUGAAGCAGGAAAUUUAAGUGUUAUUUAUAAUAAGUAUAGCCAAGAAGGUAUACCUCCUUUCUCAAGUCUUAGAAGGAAUAUUGCUGUGCUUUCUGAAUUAGAGAAAAUAAGACUGCCUUUAUUUAUUUAUUUUGAUUCUUUACUGUUUUUGUCAGUCAGGGAAAUUCUAGAGACAGGUUGGUAUUAUUUAAGAAAACUGAAAUCCAUCAAUUAUAUUAAUUAUCUUAAAAUCUUCAGACCAAAAAAAUUUCCCUUAACUUCUUUAUUUGAAUUUUUGUAAAUAUUUUCUUAUAGUCUGAUAUUUAUGGUACAAAAUUUAUUCAUACUAGUUAUUAAAAUAAAUACAUAUUUGUUUAAGACUCUUUCCUGUCCUGCUUGGUAGUGGUCUUAUACUUUUGGUGGUUGUUGUAGUCGCAAAACACAAACUGGAAAACUUUUUUUUUUAAUUUUAUUGAAGUAUAGUUGAGUUACAGUGUUGUGAUAGUGUCUAUUGUACAGCAAAGUGAUUCAGUUGUACGUAUACACACAUCCAUUCUUUUUCAGAUUCUUUUCCCGUAUAGGUUAUCACAGAAUAUUGGGUAGAGUUCUCUAAGCUCUACAGCAGGUCUCCACUGGCUAAUCAUUUUGUAAGAAUGACUUAAGAAAAUUAAUUUACAUUUGAAAGCAACAUUAUGUUGUGAUUUUAUAAGGUAAUCACAAUUGCCAUAAGUUAAUCACAAUUGCCAUAAGCAACAAAGUUUAAGUAUGCUAAAAAGCUAAACUAGCCCUUUGUAUUUAAAACAAACAAAUAAAAAACCCUCUUGCCAAAGUGUAUAAAGGGAACAUAUCUUAACAUAAUAAAAGCCAUUUAUGACAAACUCGCAGCAAAUAUAAUACUCAAUGGAGAAAAGCCUAAAGACUUCCCACUCAAAUCUGGAACAAGACAAGGAUGCCCACUCUUUCCACUGUUAUUCAACAUAGUAUUGGAAGUCCUAGCCACAGCAGCCAGACAAACAAAAGAAAUAAAAGGCCUCCAAAUUAGAAGAGAGGAGGUAAAACUGUCACUGUUUGCAGAUGACAUGAUAACUAUAUAUGGAAAAUUCUAAGGACUCAACCCAAAAACUACUUGAACUGAUCAACAAAUUCAGCAAAGUAGCAGGAUAUGAUUAACACUCAGAAAUCAGUCGCAUUUCUGUAGACUAACAAUGAAAUAUUAGAAAAGGAAUACAAAAAUACAAUACCUUUUAAAGUUGCACCCCAAAAAAUCAAAUACCUGGGCAUACACCUGAACAAGAAGGUAAAGGACUUAUAUGCCAAGAACUAUAACACAUUAAUCAAGGAAAUUAAAGAAGAUGUAAAGAAAUGGAAAGAUAUUCCAUGCUCCUAGGUUGGAAAAAUUAAUAUUGUAAAAAUGGCCGUACUACCCAAAGCAAUCUACAUAUUCAAUGCAAUUGCUACCAAAUUACCCAUGACAUUUUUCGCAGAACUAGAACAAACAAUCACUAUAAAAGCAUUUCAGUGACUCAGUUUCAAUCUAUAGGCGUAAUAAAUUAGAAUAUAGUAGAUGGCUGAUUUUAUACAACAGUUGUAGACUGGUAUAUUUGGUAAGUUUUGUAUUCUGGUUACUGGGUAUUCAGGUUACUCUACCAUAGAGGUCUAAAUUCUAAAGAGUUAUUACUGAAACUAAAAUCAGUGAAUGACUUGAACUUAACUUCUCUACGGAGUUUAAGGGACUUUAAGUAUCUUUGAGCAUCUUGAAUGAAUAUUUGAAUAUCAUCAUGUUAUAGAGUAUUUUAGAUGUAGAAAAGGUUUUUUUUUUUUUGAUGUUCCUUUUUGAAAUAUACUUUGGUAUCACUUUAUUUCUCAUAAUUUUUGAAUCAUAGAAAAUCCCAUUGUUUGUAUAUUUUAGGCAUAUGAAGUUUAAUACUGGAAAUAUAUACUGCAAAAAGAGAAAAUAAAGUAAUAAUAUGAAAACAUAUAUAAGAUAUUAAAGAAAUUUUAAGGAAAUCUCGCAGAUAACUUGCAAUACUCAUUUUCAACAUUUAGCUUGUGUUUUUAAAGGGUAUGGCAGAAUGUAUAGAGUAUUUGAAUUUUACAUUAAAAUAAUUGUCCAUGGCCAAAUACACUUUUGUCAUGUGUUCCUUUGGUUCCACAGUGUUUUUUGUUUGUUUUGCUCUUUGUUUUGAGGCCAACACUUAUAAUAAAGAUUUCGCAUAAAAAUUCUCAGAUUGCUAGCUUUUAUUGAAAAUGUUGAUGCAGAGAAAAGGAUGUUCUUAUAAUUCACAGACCCUGUCCUCUUACACACCCUUGUUAUAUGCCUUGUCUCUCUGUUUCAUUGACUUACAGAGAGCUAGGUGUAGUUUUGUAGUGGUGGAUGAGUUCUCGAGCCAUAUGGGGUGGGGUCAGAUUCUGGCUUUGACACUUAACUAGUUGUGUGACUGUAAACAAAUUCCUUAAUCUCUCUGUAUCUCCGUUUUCUGUUUGGUAAAAUGAAAAUGAUGAUGGGUUGUUAGGAUGAAAUGAUGAGUGUACAUGAAGUGUUUUAGAGUAGUUUUUAUCACAUACUUAUUGCUCAAUAGAUGUUAACUGCAAUUAAUAAUGCUUUUUUGCCUGACCCCAUUAGGUAUUUAAGUUUGGUGAUCCUUACUUCUCCAUAGUAAAGGAUUUUAUGUUUUAAUCUGCUCAUUCAUCUGAUCAGUAGUAUUUAUCAGAUUCUCUGUUGUAGUAUAAUUAUCUUUAUUUUGCUAUCUUCUACCAAAUUAGAUUCCCCAGAGUUCCAUCUCUGUGGUUAGCGUUCCAUGUGUGUUAAUUGAUUUGUACUUAUAAGAAGUAAGAACUGACAAUUUCAGAUUUAUGGAUUUAGGAUUUAUGGCUUUACAAAUUCUUACUGUCCAUUGGAAACAAAAGUUCUGCUUUCCCAAGUGUUGGUUUUUCCUAACCCUCUGCCUCUUUUGUUUUAACUGUAAUUCCAGUGGGAAAGGAUUUGUUAACAUCUGACCAUGAGUGAAGUGGCUGAGAGUUAGAGGGUUCUGAUAAAAAUCAGAUGAUAUUCCACAGUGAUUUUACAAAGUGAGAGUUUUAGAAAGAAAGUAAAAUAAAGGAGCAUUGUGUGUUGGGAAAAUAUUGGUCAAGGAUUUGUGUGUUCAUGGACUUCUGGAAUUUUUCUCUGGAAGUGGAGACUAUAUCCUGUAAAAUUACAUACUCAUUUUGCUUGGACUUGCUUUUCCAGUUUAGCAUUCCACCUUUCCUCUUCCUAUCAUGUCCUCCGCUCUUGAAAUUGAAAAUAAUAUGUUACUUAUAUUAUUUUGGAUGAAAAUUAGUGAACCCAGUCUGUUUUUUGAAAGAUUCUGAUUUCAGAAGGUCAUUUGUACUUUAUGUACAUAAAAAAAUUAUAAGUAGUUAGGACCGCUUGGAAGUUAAAAAAAAAUGUAAUUUCGGAGUUCCCGUCGUGGCGCAGUGGUUAACGAAUCCAACUAGGAACCAUGAGGUUGCGGGUUCGGUCCCUGCCCUUGCUCAGUGGGUUAACGAUCCGGCGUUGCCGUGAGCUGUGGUGUAGGUUGCAGACGCGGCUCGGAUCCCAUGUUGCUGUGGCUCUGGCUUAGGCCGGUGGCUACAGCUCUGAUUCAACCCCUAGCCUGGGAACCUCCAUAUGCCGCGGGAGUGGCCCAAGAAAUAGCAAAAAAAGACCAAAAAAAAAAAAAAAUUGUUAUUUCUAAAAAAAAAAAAAA